GAGGAAGUAAAAGUCGUAACAAGGUUUCCGUAGGUGAACCUGCGGAAGGAUCAUUAUCGAGUUUUGAAACGGGUUGUCGCUGGCCUUUCACGAGGCAUGUGCACGCCUGGCUCAUCCACUCUUCUACCUCUGUGCACUUUUUGUAGGAAGUCUUUGGUUUUGAAAGCUGGCGUAAGUCAGUCGAUUGCCGGGACUUUCUAUGUUUUUAUUACUACAAACGCUUCAGUUAUAGAAUGUCAUACUUGCGAAUAACGCAUUUAUAUACAACUUUCAGCAACGGAUCUCUUGGCUCUCGCAUCGAUGAAGAACGCAGCGAAAUGCGAUAAGUAAUGUGAAUUGCAGAAUUCAGUGAAUCAUCGAAUCUUUGAACGCACCUUGCGCUCCUUGGUAUUCCGAGGAGCAUGCCUGUUUGAGUAUCAUGGAAUUCUCAACUCCCAAAAUUUUUUGAAACAUAAAAAUUCUGGUGAGCUUGGAAGUGGAGGCUUGUGUCGGCUUUUAAUUAAAUCGACUCCUCUGAAAUGCAUUAGCGUGAAUCUUACGGAUCGCCUUCAGUGUGAUAAUUGUCUACGCUGUGGUUGUUGAAGUAAAUUUAUAUGGUCCAUGCUUAUAAUCGUCUCUCUGAGACAAAUUUUAUGACUUCUGAUCUCAAAUCAGGUAGGACUACCCGCUGAACUUAAGCAUAUCAA
rnacentral:rRNA from 1 species